rnacentral:rRNA from 1 species
GAUGAACGCUAGCGGGAGGCUUAACACAUGCAAGUCGAAGGGCAGCACGUCUUCGGAUGGUGGCGACUGGCGAACGGGUGCGUAACGCGUAUGCAACCUACCCUCAACAGGGGAAUAGCCCAGAGAAAUUUGGAUUAAUACCCCAUAGUAUUACAGAUUCGCAUGUUUCUGUGAUUAAAGUUCCAACGGUUGAGGAUGGGCAUGCGUGACAUUAGCUUGUUGGUGAGGUAACGGCUCACCAAGGCAACGAUGUCUAGGGGUUCUGAGAGGAUGAUCCCCCACACUGGUACUGAGACACGGACCAGACUCCUACGGGAGGCAGCAGUGAGGAAUAUUGGACAAUGGAGGCAACUCUGAUCCAGCCAUCCCGCGUGCAGGAAGAAGGCCCUAUGGGUUGUAAACUGCUUUUAUACAGGAAUAAACCCCUCUACGUGUAGAGGGCUGAAGGUACUGUAAGAAUAAGCACCGGCUAACUCCGUGCCAGCAGCCGCGGUAAAG